CCCAACUUACAAUGCAACGGGUUUUGACAAUUCACAUCCAAAACCAAAUUCGAUCGUAAAUCCGAAACUCAAACACAAACCCGAAAAUCAAUCCAAAACAAUUAUUUUCUCUUUACCAUGUUUCAAAAUAUAUUAUAUUAAAAUUUAAAAUUUUAAACUAUAAAUUCAAAUAUAACAUCAAACGUUCAUAUACAACAUAUAAUAUAAAAUCUAUUCAGUUUUGGGUCAGGUUUUGCAGGUUUAGGUCGGGUACUGACAAAAUCCAUGACUGAUCUUGUACAUCUAUAUCCAUAUUUGAAGAUAUAUUUGUUUAGUAUUCGAAUAAGCCAAUUUCGUUCGAAUUGAGUUCUGAUAAAAUUUCGGAUAUCCGUUCCCGUUGACAUGCCUAGUA
rnacentral:lncRNA from 1 species